rnacentral:lncRNA from 1 species
UGAUAGUAGGUGAACUUUGUUGAGUGUUCCUGCUUCUUCAGUUUUGGGUCGGUAUGCCUUGCUUAUCUUUCAAGGCUGUUUGAUUCAAUGUCUUAGGCGCUCCACUAUUACCUUGUUUUGAUUAAGUUUGGAUUUUGACAAUGUAAUGAGUAUUAUGGAUUAUUGUUUUUGUUUUAAUUACUGAUGAGGAGUUUUAAACUAUCUUUUGGUUUCAUCAGUUUUGAAUAAUAUAAGAUUUCUGAAGAUUAUGAAAUGCUGCGUAAUUUUGAAUAAGGAAUAGUGGAAUUUUGUAUAGAGAAUAGAUUAUGAGUAAUGACAUAUGAGAUUACCUACUGUCAUCUCCUGAUUUCUAACAAAAUUCCACCAUUCAAACAAAAUCAUAACUCAAAAUCAUCAUAUUUACCUCCAAUUUCUCACAAUCAACUAAUUAACCAAUUACCCACAACAAUCAACCCAUAACCUUCCAAUGAAUUCAUCAAUCAAACUCAAAACACAAUAUUCAAAACCCUAACAUUUAUCAAAACAGAACUUAAAGCUUAAAGAACACAUAUUUAUACAUAAUCUUACCUUUAAACUUAUUUCCUCCAAUUCUCUUCUCCUUUCCUUAUCUUUCCCUCUUUUCUCUUCUUCUUCCUCCCCUUUUUCUUCUCUUCUCCCGUCAGUUUUCACUCUUAAAACACAGCUCUCUUCUUCUAUUUUCUUUUCUAUUUCUAUUUAUCAACUCUUUGUUCAAUUACUACAAUACCCCUUAUUCAUUUAUACCCAUUUUUAGCCUUCAAGGGCUUUAUUGCCUUUUACCUACUCAUUAAAUUUCAAAACAUCACAAUCUCCCCACCUUAUAAAAGUUUCGUCCUCGAAACUUAAACUUUAAGAAAAAGUCUUACCAUCAAGUUCAAACAAGAAUGGAUACUUGUUGAGCAUUUCCUCCUCAACCUCCCACGUCGCUUCUUCACGUGGGUGUCCGCUCCACACAACCUUAACCGAUGCGAUAUCUUUCGACCGAAGUUUUCUAACUUGUCGAUCCACUAUUUUUAUUGGUUGAACUUCAUAUGUCAUAUCUUUCCUCAGCUCAACCGGUUGAACUUCCAGCACAUGAGAUGGAUCAGACAAAUACUUCCUCAACAUCGAAACAUGGAACACUGGAUGUAUAGAGGAUAGAUUAGGUGGCAAGGCAAGCCGAUAUGCCACUACCCCUACUCUUUCCAAGAUCUCAAAGGGCCCUAUAAACUUAGGACCAAAAUUCCACUAUUGUUGUCUCUUUCCAGGAGAUGAAACAGGCACGAGUUUUUGCCAUUACUCAGCAAGAUGCCCAGACAUCCAAUAUUGUUGUCUCAGGUACACUCUUAAUAUGUUCCUUCGAUGCUAGAGUGUUAUUUGACACGGGGGCAACUCAUUCUUUCGUGUCGUCAUAUUUUGCCUUAAGGUUUACUAAACAACCCAUUUUGUUAGAGAGUCCUUUGUGUGUAGCUAUCCCUUCGGAUGAGGUUAUGUUUGGGGAAUAUGUUUAUGUUGAUUGUGAGGUUCAAGUGCAAGGGAGAAACCUAUUAGGCGAUUUGGUAAUUUUAGAAAUAAUAGGUUUUGAUGUGAUACUAGGUAUGGAUUGGUUAUCAAGGCACCAUGCCUCAGUUGAUUGUUGGAAUAAGACAGUGAUUUUCAAGCCUGGUGAGGAGACAGAGUUUGCUUUUCAUGGAGAUGGGUUAUCAUCUCCAUCUAGUAUUCUCUCGGCCAUCACGAGAAGGAUGGUACGAAAGGGUAUGCAAGGGUUUUUAGCUUAUGUGCAUGAUAUGAACAUGGAGGUCCCGAGGAUGGAACAAGUUUCGAUAGUUAAGGAAUUCAUCGAUGUUUUUCCCAAUGACUUACCUGGACUACCUCCCAAUAGGGAAAUCGAAUUCUGUAUUGAUCUAGUUUCAGGAACAAAACCAAUCUCUAUGGCACCGUACAGGAUGGCGCCAGCAGAAUUAAAAGAGUUGAAGGAGCAGAUUCAAGAUUUGUUAGAUAAGGGGUUUAUUCGUCCGAGUGUGUCUCCGUGGGGAGCACCUGUGUUAUUUGUAAAGAAGAAGGAUGGAUCAAUGAGGAUGUGUAUAGACUAUAGACAGUUGAACAAGGUCACUGUUAAGAAUAGAUACCCACUCCCUCGCAUUGAUUAUCUUUUUGAUCAAUUACAAGGAGCUCAAUGUUUCUCAAAGAUUGAUUUGCGAUCGGGGUAUCACCAGUUGAGGAUUAGGAAUGAGGAUAUUCCUAAAACUGCCUUUAGGACUCGUUAUGGGCAUUACGAGUUCCUAGUGUUGUUUUUUGGGUUAACGAAUGCACCCGCGACUUUUAUGGACAUGAUGAACAGGGUUUUUAGGCCGUUUAUUGAUAAGUUUGUUAUUGUGUUCAUUGAUGACAUCCAUUCAAAAUUCCUUAUUAAAACAUUACUCAACAAUAGUGGAAUUUUGGUACACUCUGGAAAUCUUAUUAGGCGAUUUGGUAAUUUUAGGCAUAGUAGGUUUUGAUGUGAUACUAGGUAUGGAUUGGUUAUCAAGGCACCAUGCCUCAGUUGAUUGUUGGAAUAAGACAGUGAUUUUCAAGCCUGAUGAGGAGACAGAGUUUGCUUUUCAUGGAGAUGGGUUAUCAUCUCCAUCUAGUAUUCUCUCGGCCAUCACGAGAAGGAUGGUACGAAAGGGUAUGCAAGGGUUUUUUGGCUUAUGUGCAUGAUAUGAACAUGGAGGUCCCGAGGAUGGAACAAGUUUCGAUAGUUAAGGAAUUCAUCGAUGUUUUUCCCGAUGACUUACCUGGACUACCUCCCAAUAGGGAAAUCGAAUUCUGUAUUGAUCUAGUUUCAGGAACAAAACCAAUCUCUAUGGCACCGUACAGGAAGGCGCCAGCAGAAUUAAAAGAGUUGAAGGAGCAGAUUCAAGAUUUGUUAGAUAAGGGGUUUAUUCGUCCAAGUGUGUCUCCGUGGGGAGCACCUGUUUUAUUUGUAAAGAAGAAGGAUGGAUAAAUGAGGAUGUGUAUAGACUAUAGACAGUUGAACAAGGUCACUGUUAAGAAUAGAUACCCACUCCCUCGCAUUGAUGAUCUUUUUGAUCAAUUACAAGGAGCUCAAUGUUUCUCAAAGAUUGAUUUGCGAUCGGGGUAUCACCAGUUGAGGAUUAGGAAUGAGGAUAUUCCUAAAACUGCCUUUAGGACUCGUUAUGGGCAUUACGAGUUCCUAGUGUUGUCUUUUGGGUUAACGAAUGCACCUGCGGCUUUUAUGGACAUGAUGAACAGGGUUUUUAGGCCGUUUAUUGAUAAGUUUGUUAUUGUGUUCAUUGAUGACAUCUUGGUGUAUUCAAGAAGUAAAGAGGAACAUGAAGAGCAUUUGAGAUUGGUGCCUCAAUAGCUCGGGCACGAUCCACUAUGGCUGAGUACGUCUUAAACUCAUGAGCCCCAAUAGCUUUGAAUAAGUAGCUAUUAAGACCUCGAACAAACCUCUUAAUCUUCCUCUCCUCAGUCGGUACCAAAUACCCAGCAAAUCUGGACAACCGUGUGAAUUCCACUUCAUACUCUAUCACACUCAACUCACCCUGAACCAACUUUUCAAACUCAUAUGAUCUGGCUUCCCUCACACUUUCAGGUAGAAAACGUUCCAAAAACAUCUCAGAAAAUUCCUUCCACUCCAUCGGUGGCGAACUAACUGCCCUUUCACCCCUCUUGGACUCAUACCAGUUCACAGCCACCUCUCCUUCUAGCCUGAAAGAUGCCAAAGUCACUGCACGAUGAUCCGUGCACCCCAUGGCCUCACAUCUACGCCACACUGCAUCUAAAAAUUGUUGUGGGUCCUCAGAGUUAUCAACACCCUUAAAAGUAGGAGGUGCCAACUUAAGGAACUCUGACAAUGACACUUUCACCCCAUGCACAGUAUGGAGUUUGGAUUUUGACAAUGUAAUGAGUAUUAUGGAUUAUUGUUUUUGUUUUAAUUACUGAUGAGGAGUUUUAAACUAUCUUUUGGUUUCAUCACUGAGUUGGUUGAACUCACCCCUCAUUCUUAAUAUUAUUUCAGGUUCUUAGUUUCUGAUAGUAGGUGAACUUUGUUGAGUGUUCCUGCUUCUUCAGUUUUGGGUCGGUAUGCCUUGCUUAUCUUUCAAGGCUGUUUGAUUCAAUGUCUUAGGCGCUCCACUAUUACCUUGUUUUGAUUAAGUUUGGAUUUUGACAAUGUAAUGAGUAUUAUGGAUUAUUGUUUUUGUUUUAAUUACUGAUGAGGAGUUUUAAACUAUCUUUUGGUUUCAUCAGUUUUGAAUAAUAUAAGAUUUCUGAAGAUUAUGAAAUGCUGCG